rnacentral:rRNA from 1 species
GACGAACCUUGCAAACGUUAUUCGGAAUUACUGGGCUUAAAGGGUGCGUAGGCGGUGCGGAAAGUCGGGUGUGAAAUCCCUCAGCUCAACUGAGGAAUUGCGCCCGAAACUACCGUACUGGAGGAAGAUAGAGGUGAGCGGAACUCAGGGUGGAGCGGUGAAAUGCGUUGAUAUCCUGAGGAACACCGGUGGCGAAAGCGGCUCACUGGGUCUUUUCUGACGCUGAGGCACGAAAGCUAGGGUAGCGAACGGG